GAAGCCCCGGCUAACUACGUGCCAGCAGCCGCGGUAAUACGUAGGGGGCGAGCGUUGUCCGGAAUUAUUGGGCGUAAAGAGCGUGUAGGCGGUUCGGUAAGUCUGCUGUGAAAUCCUGGGGCUCAACCCUGGGCGUGCAGCGGAUACUGCCGGGCUAGAGGAUGGUAGAGGCGAGUGGAAUUCCCGGUGUAGCGGUGAAAUGCGCAGAUAUCGGGAGGAACACCAGUAGCGAAGGCGGCUCGCUGGGCCAUUCCUGACGCUGAGACGCGAAAGCAUGGGGAGCGAACAGGAUUAGAUACCCUGGUAGUCCAUGCCGUAAACGAUGAACACUAGGUGUGGGCGGAGUCGAAUCUGUCUGUGCCGAAGCCAACGCGUUAAGUGUUCCGCCUGGGGAGUACGGCCGCAAGGCUAAAACUCAAAAGAAUUGACGGGGGCCCGCACAAGCAGCGGAGCAUGUUCUUUAAUUCGAUGCAACGCGAAGAACCUUACCUGGACUUGACAUGGUGCUGCAAGCGCACGGAAACGUGUGACCUUCGAGGGUGCACCACAGAUGCUGCAUGGCUGUCGUCAGCUCGUGUCGUGAGAUGUUGGGUUAAGUCCCGCAACGAGCGCAACCCCCGUGGUGUGUUGCUAACAUUAAGUUGAGGACUCACACCAGACUGCCGGUGACAAACCGGAGGAAGGUGGGGAUGACGUCAAGUCAUCAUGG
rnacentral:rRNA from 1 species